UGAGCUUGNUUUCGAUACGGGCUGACUUGAGGGAGGUAGGGGAGAAUGGAAUUCCUGGUGGAGCGGUGGAAUGCGCAGAUAUCAGGAGGAACACCGGUGGCGAAGGCGGUUNUCUGGACCUUUCCUGACGCUGAGAAGCGAAAGCGUGGGGAGCGAACAGGCUUAGAUACCCUGGUAGUCCACGCUGUAAACGGUGGGUACUAGGUGUGGGGGACAUUCCACGUUCUCCGUGCCGUAGCUAACGCAUUAAGUACCCCGCCUGGGGAGUACGGCCGCAAGGCUAAAACUCAAAGGAAUUGACGGGGCCCCGCACAAGCGGCGGAGCAUGCGGAUUAAUUCGAUGCAACGCGAAGAACCUUACCUGGGUUUGACAUAUGCCGGAAGCGUUCAGAGAUGGGCGUGCCUUUUUGGUCGGUUUACAGGUGGUGCAUGGCUGUCGCCAGCUCGUGUCGUGAGAUGUUGGGUUAAGUCCCGCAACGAGCGCAACCCUCGUCCAAUGUUGCCAGCGGGUUAUGCCGGGGACUCAUUGGAGACCGCCGGGGUCAACUCGGAGGAAGGUGGGGAUGACGUCAAGUCAUCAUGCCCCUUAUGUCCAGGGCUUCACGCAUGCUACAAUGGCCGGUACAGUGAGCUGCGAGCCUGUGAGGGUGAGCGAAUCUCUAAAAGCCGGUCUCAGUUCGGAUUGGGGUCUGCAACUCGACCCCAUGAAGUCGGAGUCGCUAGUAAUCGCAGAUCAGCAACGCUGCGGUGAAUACGUUCCCGGGGCUUGUACACACCGCCCGUCAAGUCAUGAAAGUCGGUAACACCCGAAGCCGGUGGCCUAACC
rnacentral:rRNA from 1 species